UGUGCACGCAGUUGUGUAUAAUGAAAUUGCUAUCUGGUUUUCAUUUUCAUCGUUUAAUUUAUUUAUUUAAAUUUGGCAGGAUUUGCCUCCCAUACUUCAAAGCACGCAGCCUCAAAAGUCCAAAAACCGAACUGAAAUGAGACGGUCUAGCCUCGCAGACGAUUUCCUAAUUGCGUCACCUGCUGCUCAUGUUGCGUGGUGACAGCAGCAGGACACAGCAGAGACGUUUCUGACUUUUUAAACAAAUACGGAGCCAGAAAAAUUAUAUUUUAUUUUAGAGAAUAUGACACGUUUAUGUAGAUUUAAACAGCCCAACAGUAUAUUAAAUUAACCAACCUUAGAAAUUUAAAACACAAUAAUGCAUCAUUAAUGUUAAUUAACAACAUCACAUAUAAUAUUAAAACACUGAAAUGGACCAUUUUUGUGAAUUACAUACUUUUAUUUAACUAAAGUUUUGAAUGAUUAUCUAAAAAAUUCAAGCCGUUACAGACGCGCAAUGAAUCUCGGGAUAGCCUAAGCUGUGAAGGAUACAUUCGAUCUAUCCUUAAAAACCCGCUGAAAUAAGGUCGCAUUUUGGGGCUGCAUUUAAAGCAACCUUUGAAUCGGGAAAGCCUUACCAGCCUUCAGUCGCGCUGCUCUGACGCAAUCGGUCUUAAAAAUUGGGACACAGGCAAAAUAUGGGGGGACGUGAUGACCAGAUUAAGAGCCGCUAGGCUAUUUUUAUGUUUGCUAAAACGGUGAAAUGAGCUGUAUAAUACAGGUGUAUCAUUUUAGUACCUAUAAAUAUCUACAUGUACAGAAACCUAUACGUAUACAUAAUGGCACCCUCAAAAAUAAAAUUCUGGCUACGCCACUGCGACGAAGUGCAGCUUCGAUACCCAAGGAUACGUUGCAUUAGUAUGUCAACUCUGAUUGGAUGACUGAGGGGUACUCAUGUUUAUGCAAUAAUGUGUUUGAAUCAAGAUAUCUCCAAACACAUUCUUACUAGUUCCUUUUAAGGCGGAAGAUAUCUUCAAAUGAAUAGGUACUAGUAGUUAUUCUGUUUUGAUAUCAGUUACUAAUUUAUGAGUAGUACUUAUUACAAUAAUUAUGGCAAGCCAAAUUAGCCUAAAUUGUCCCCAGCGUUACUCGUCGUAAUUGCAUUUUUACUAGUAAGAAUUAAAUUGGAGAGCUCUAUAAUAAAAAUUUUUACUAGUAACAAUUACGAUUAGAGAGCUACUGUAAUUCAAAUUUUACUAGUAACAAUUAUGAUUAGAGAGCUCUCUAAAUGAAUUAGAGUAUGGCACGCCGAAUUAGCCUAAAUUGUUCCCAGCGUUACUCAUCGUAAUUGCAUUUUUACUAGUAACAAUUACAAUUACAGAGCUCUAUAACUCAAUUUUUACCAGUAACAAUUACGAUUAGAGAGCUCUCAAAUUCGAUUUUUACUAGUAAGAAUUCAGUUGCAGAGCUCUCUAAUUCUGUUUUACUAGUAAUAAUUACAAUUAGAGAGCUCUGUAUUUGCAAUCGGACUAGUAACAACUGAAUUAGAGAGCUCUGCAAUAGCAAUUCUUACUAGUAAGAAUAGCAUCAUAGAGCUCUCUGUUCAGCGCCAUCUCAUUAUGCUGAUCCUACCUUAUGCAUAUUCAUCCAGUUUGUAUACAUUGGAGGGGAAAACCUGGCAAGUUUUUGUUUGCAGCGUUUAUAUUAAUAGAUUACAGCUGUUAAACUGCUAGCCUGAGCAAAGUUUAGUGUCCUAAACAACCGUAAUUUAAUAAAAAAGUAUAUUUGGUGUAGAAAGCCAGUUUAACUAUUUUCAUAAGGGGCGUGGCCAGCACACAACACGAUCGCGCUGUUCAUGUAAGACGUUUCACUGAGUUUCUGUCACUGUGAAUCUGGCUUCAACUGCGUCUGAGGUUAUUUUUACACCAGAAUGGCGUUUUGGGAAAACGUUGCAGCGCAGUGUGGGUAGUUUUGGGCUCAAGGUCCGAGGCUGACGAGUUGUAUCUUGAAAGGCUCGCAGAGUCUCACUGGGCUACUGGGUCGUGGAAAAGCAAGUUGCACGGACACGGGACAGAAUGGACAACAAUCAGAGAACUAAGAAAAAGGACAGAGUCAGAUAACCUGGUUCACGGUGAUUGGUGGAAAGGGAGCAGCACUCCUUAAAAGGCAGAGGAGGAGUCAGAAGAUGCGAGCGACGUCACAUACUGAAUAAAUAUGGGUGUUUUUGAAUAAUUUGGGUUGUUGGCUUGUGGUGGAGUGAGGAGAUCGUCUGACAACCCAAAGCUUUGUUACCUUUUUACAUCUGAUAAUAAAACUUCUAUAUAAUUUGGAGAAACGUCUCUUGCAAAUUUUUGAACAUGCAGGACUGCCUCAAAAGUCCAACAAUUGGUGACCCCGACGUGAUUUGACGAGAGAUAGUGCUAAUUGUGUGCCUUUUGGCGAGAGAGAUCAGAACGGACUCAGGUUCAACACACAGGUCGCGACCAACAAAAAAAAAAGGUAAGCAGAAGCCUGUUUAUUCAAAAUUCUGCUAUUGAACAUACCUAAAUUGUUGUGUUGAAUUUGAUGAACAUUCUGAGGAAGUUGAAAUAAAUAGAAAAAAGAAAAUUUUGAAAAAUCAGAUUUGAAAGAGUAAAAUAUUAAAUCGGGUGGUUAGAGUCCCCCGUAGAGAGGGUAAUAAAUCCCUUAGAGUCUGGGACUCAUAAAUUGCGUUGUGGUAAUCGCGUCUGGGACGAAAAAGUCCAGGAUAAAUUAAUAUCCUUUGAGUCUGGGACUCAUAAACUGCGUUGUGGUAAUCGCGUCUGGGACGAAAAAGUCCAGGAUAAAUUAAUAUCCUUUGAGUCUGGGACUCAUAAACUGCGUUGUGGUAUUCGCGUCUGGGACGAAAAAGGCCAGGGUGAAAUAAAUCCCUUUGAGUCUGGGAACUCAUAAAGGAAUAUUCCAAAAUUGUUUGUUAUAUGUUUGAAUGUUUUGAAAAAGUGAAUGCAAUUGUUGAUGUGAAAAUUAAUGUGAAAACUGAUUUAACCGUGUGAAAAUAGAUACUGUAUAAUUUUUGCAAACUGUGAAUAGAAUUUGUGUGUAAAAUGGCUGAAUUUCGGAAAGAAUGUGAUGAAUACGGAUGUCCGCCAGUAUUGGUGCAGUGGCAAAAUGUUACAAAUAUGCUUUUAGCACAGACAGAACCAAAAGAUAAGAAAGCAAAGACAGAAAGAAAUUGAUAAGUGUUGGAUAGCAUUGUGUGAUGAUUGUUGAUGGGAAAAUGCAGAAAAAGUGAUGAUUCCUAUAGCACCAACAAUCAGAGAAAUGGAAAAGAAAGCACAUAGUAAGUUACGGAGACAUAUUGAUGAAAAAGACAAAGUGAAGUGGUAUAACUCAGGGAAGCAUGGUAGUGAAGAAGAAAAUCUAAAGAAGAAACUUAGAGUGUGGACUAGAGUAGCGCUAACAACCACAGCACUCAGCUCACAGAAACCACAGAGUAGAGAGAGAAAACAGGAAGUGAACAGCUCAGCAGCCAGAGAGAGAAAUGAAGAGAAUACAGUAAGCACUCAGACUAUCCUCUGCUCCGCCCCCAGAAAAACCCAACCCACUUCAUUAUACCCAACCCUAAGCCACCCCCCUUCAUACGAACCGCCCAAACAGCAGGUUGUCAUGACAAUUAAUGGAGGAGAAAUGGAUGUUGCAGUAGGAGAAAUGACUGGUGAAAUAGACAGGAUACGCAAGGAAUUUGAUGAAUUAAAAACUGCAGUGAACAAGGGUGUGGAAGACACAUUAGUAAAAGCACGACGAGUUAUGGAAGAAGUAGAGAGAACAAGACAUGAACAGGAAGAGUCUGAGAAGGGUGACAAUGAGAAUACUGAAGAAGACAUUAUAUUUGCAAAACUAAUAAAUACAUCCACCCCUAAUCCACAAGCAGGGACCAAUAUGCUAACAGGGCCAAUACCAGUUCAAUUUGCAGGGAAAAUGACACUGGGUGAGCCAAUAGCCCAUAGGUUAAGGAGCAGGAAACAGCCAGGGCACCCAGACCAUGAGGAAGAGAAGGAGGAAAGGGAACAUUACCUGAACUAUGACCCAAGUCGUCAACUACAGGUACCUCAAAUGCAAGCACCUUUAAUGCACAGACCAGGAGGGAAUUCACAGUACCAACCUUGGUCACAUAGUGACAUGACAGCGAUAGCAAGUAAGUUGCCACCCAUUACCUCAGGAGGCAGCAGAUGGUUGAGUAAGCUGACAGCACUCAGCCAUGGCACUGACUUGGCUUUGGGUGACUUGAGAUGCCUGUUGGGUCAGAUACUGACAGCCUCACAAAUGCAAAAUUUAGAGCUCGAUGCAAAUACUAUGUAUGUUGCAAAUGAGAUACCAUUUACCAGAGGAAGAAUAAUUGUUAUAAAUUUCAACUGAAACAUCUACAAACAAUCAAUUGUUUGAAAUGUGUUCUGCUUAAUGCGUUUUGCUUUUAAAAACACACUGUUGAUAGGUUGAGUCCUCACUGCCUGAGGGUUCCAUUGAAAAACAAAGGUCUUCACCAUAGCAUGAGUCAUUCCAAAAGGGUGACCAUGAAGAAUAUUUGGACGGAAAUGCACUCCAACAACCCUACAACAUCACGUGAGAAGGCUUAUAAUCAAAUAAUUUUACUUAUUAAAGUAACUUUCCAAUAGUUAUUAUUUGUUUGAACAGUAAAAAGUAAUGUUAUAUUUGUUAUUGUAACAGAGACAAUAAAUGGAAAUACAUUACAGUACAUUUUUGUGCAACUAUGUGUAAUGUUUGGUUGAAAUUUAUGACAUUCAGCUCACCUCGUUAUGGAAAAAAAAAGACUCAGAGGUUGUGGUUUCUGUGAUCCCGACCCAAAACGAAGGACAGACAAUUAUUGUUCGCCACAGUAAUUGAGGCCCUUUCAUCUAGCUGCCAAACAGCUAGGGCUGUAGAAGUCAAUAUAUAUCCUCAAUCACUACACUGCAUUUGUGAUUCUCUAUGGAACAAGAUCUCAGAGGAGGCGGAAUAACUUGCCAAAGGUCAACUUUGAUGAUUAUCAGGGAGUGGUUUCAUUUGUGAACCCUAGCAGAGUCCACUGGAAGUUGCUGUACAUAAAUGCUGUCAACCAGACUGUGUACCUUAUUGAUCCUUCAAGAAGUUCCAAGGAGGAAGCAGAGUCCAUUCGUGCCACCAACAGAUUCAG